GAUGAACGCUGGCGGCGUGCCUAAUACAUGCAAGUCGAGCGAACAGACGAGGAGCUUGCUCCUCUGACGUUAGCGGCGGACGGGUGAGUAACACGUAGAUAACCUACCUAUAAGACUGGGAUAACUUCGGGAAACCGGAGCUAAUACCGGAUAAUAUAUUGAACCGCAUGGUUCAAUAGUGAAAGACGGUUUUGCUGUCACUUAUAGAUGGAUCCGCGCCGCAUUAGCUAGUUGGUAAGGUAACGGCUUACCAAGGCAACGAUGCGUAGCCGACCUGAGAGGGUGAUCGGCCACACUGGAACUGAGACACGGUCCAGACUCCUACGGGAGGCAGCAGUGGGGAAUCUUCCGCAAUGGGCGAAAGCCUGACGGAGCAACGCCGCGUGAGUGAUGAAGGUCUUCGGAUCGUAAAACUCUGUUAUUAGGGAAGAACAAAUGUGUAAGUAACUAUGCACGUCUUGACGGUACCUAAUCAGAAAGCCACGGCUAACUACGUG
rnacentral:rRNA from 1 species